rnacentral:rRNA from 1 species
GACGAACGCUGGCGGCGUGCCUAACACAUGCAAGUCGAACGGAGAUAUGAUUUCGGUUAUAUCUUAGUGGCGAACGGGUGAGUAACGCGUGAGCAACCUGACUCUUAGAGGGGGGAUAACACCCGGAAACGAGUGCUAAUACCGCAUAAGACCACGACAUGGCAUCAUGACGAGGUCAAAGGAGCAAUCCGCUGAGAGAGGGGCUCGCGUCCCAUUAGAUAGAUGGCGGGGUAACGGCCCACCAUGUCAGCGAUGGGUAGCCGAGCUGAGAGGCUGAUCGGCCACACUGGAACUGAGACACGGUCCAGACUCCUACGGGAGGCAGCAGUGGGGAAUAUUGGGCAAUGGGCGCAAGCCUGACCCAGCAACGCCGCGUGAGGGAGAAGGCUUCGGGUUGUAAACCUCUGUCCUUGGUGACGAAAAAAUGACGGUAGCCAAGGAGGAAGCCCCGGCUAACUACGUGCCAGCAGCCGCGGUAAUCUAGUCU